UUGGAGGGCAAGUCUGGUGCCAGCAGCCGCGGUAAUUCCAGCUCCAAUAGCGUAUAUUAAAGUUGUUGCAGUUAAAAAGCUCGUAGUUGAAUUUCGGGGUCAGUAGGUCGGUCGUGCCACUGGUAUGAACUGGUUUUACUGAUUCCUCCCUCUUGAAGAACUGUAAUGCCAUUAAUUUGGUGUUGCAGGGAAUCAGGACUGUUACUUUGAAAAAAUUAGAGUGUUUAAAGCAGGCUUUAGCUUGAAUACAUUAGCAUGGAAUAAUGAAAUAGGACGUUUGAUCCUAUUUUGUUGGUUUCUAGGAUUGACGUAAUGAUUAAUAGGGAUAGUUGGGGGCAUUAGUAUUCAAUUGUCAGAGGUGAAAUUCUUGGAUUCAUUGAAGACUAACUACUGCGAAAGCAUUUGCCAAGGAUGUUUUCAUUAAUCAAGAACGAAAGUUAGGGGAUCGAAGACGAUCAGAUACCGUCGUAGUCUUAACCAUAAAUUAUGCCGACUAGGGAUCGGACGAUGUUAAUUUUUUAAUGACUCGUUCGGCGCCUUACGGGAAAC
rnacentral:rRNA from 1 species